UACGAAGGGGGCUAGCGUUGCUCGGAAUCACUGGGCGUAAAGGGUGCGUAGGCGGGUCUUUAAGUCAGGGGUGAAAUCCUGGAGCUCAACUCCAGAACUGCCUUUGAUACUGAGGAUCUUGAGUUCGGGAGAGGUGAGUGGAACUGCGAGUGUAGAGGUGAAAUUCGUAGAUAUUCGCAAGAACACCAGUGGCGAAGGCGGCUCACUGGCCCGAUACUGACGCUGAGGCACGAAAGCGUGGGGAGCAAACAGGAU
rnacentral:rRNA from 1 species